rnacentral:rRNA from 1 species
CCGCGUGAGGGAUGACGGCCUUCGGGUUGUAACCUCUUUCAGUAGGGAAGAAGCGAAAGUGACGGUACCUGCAGAAGAAGCGCCGGCUAACUACGUGCCAGCAGCCGCGGUAAUACGUAGGGCGCAAGCGUUAUCCGGAAUUAUUGGGCGUAAAGAGCUCGUAGGCGGUUUGUCGCGUCUGCUGUGAAAGACCGGGGCUCAACUCCGGUUCUGCAGUGGGUACGGGCAGACUAGAGUGAUGUAGGGGAGACUGGAAUUCCUGGUGUAGCGGUGAAAUGCGCAGAUAUCAGGAGGAACACCGAUGGCGAAGGCAGGUCUCUGGGCAUUAACUGACGCUGAGGAGCGAAAGCAUGGGGAGCGAACAGGAUUAGAUACCCUGGUA